CACGCGGCGGGCGGGAGCCGGGGCCUGUGAGGCGGCGUCGUAGGAGGCGAAGCGGCGCGGUCGCAGCAGCAGUGGAGGCCGCGGGUUCCGCAGGAGCCGGAUGUAGGUCUCUAGGAACCACUGUGCAGUGUCAUCUUUCAGCUUCCCACUUCCCCUGAAGUGCAACUUCAGCAGAUAAAUUGGGGGAGAGUUUAACCAUUUGCGACAAAGACAAGGUGUUUAAGAGCUGAGAACCACAGUUAAUAGGAGACUUUCACAAGGUAUGUAAAUACAGUCUUGUGUCUGGUCAAUUUUCAAAUGUUACAUGUUUGCAAAUAAUAUGUGC
rnacentral:lncRNA from 1 species